AUUGAACGCUGGCGGCAGGCUUAACACAUGCAAGUCGAGCGGAGAGAGGUAGCUUGCUACUGAUCUUAGCGGCGGACGGGUGAGUAAUGCUUAGGAAUCUGCCUAUUAGUGGGGAACAACAUUUCGAAAGGAAUGCUAAUACCGCAUACGUCCUACGGGAGAAAGCAGGGGAUCUUCGGACCUUGCGCUAAUAGAUGAGCCUAAGUCGGAUUAGCUAGUUGGUGGGGUAAAGGCCUACCAAGGCGACGAUCUGUAGCGGGUCUGAGAGGAUGAGCCGCCACACUGGGACUGAGACACGGCCCAGACGCCUACGGGAGGCAGCAGUGGGGAAUAUUGGACAAUGGGCGCAAGCCUGAUCCAGCCAUGCCGCGUGUGUGAAGAAGGCCUUAUGGUUGUAAAGCACUUUAAGCGAGGAGGAGGCUACUUUAGAUAAUACCUAGAGAUAGUGGACGUUACUCGCAGAAUAAGCACCGGCUAACUCUGUGCCAGCCGCCGCGGUAAGAC
rnacentral:rRNA from 1 species